rnacentral:tRNA from 1 species
UCCCUGAUGGUCCAGUGGUUAGGACUCAGCACUUCCAAUGCAGAGGGUGCAAGUUCAAUCCCUAGUCAGGGGA